UGGAAUGUUUUGAUUUUAAGGCCAUACUAAU
rnacentral:piRNA from 1 species